rnacentral:rRNA from 1 species
UACGGAGGGUGCAAGCGUUAUCCGGAUUCACUGGGUUUAAAGGGUGCGUAGGUGGGUCUGUAAGUCAGUGGUGAAAUCUCCAAGCUUAACUUGGAAACUGCCGUUGAUACUAUAGACCUUGAAUGUUGUGGAGGUGAGCGGAAUAUGUCAUGUAGCGGUGAAAUGCUUAGAUAUGACAUAGAACACCAAUUGCGAAGGCAGCUCACUACCCAGAUAUUGACACUGAGGCACGAAAGCGUGGGGAUCAAACAGG